GUCCACAACAUGGCUGGUACUGAUAAUAUGAUCAUCGUCGCUCCCCCGAUGGCCAGCAACCAAAUUAUCACCGUCUGGACUAUCGGAAGUACGUAAAGCACCAUUUUCAAGAGGAAGAGGAGGUCGUCCGGUAUCGAGGAAUGAUCUUUGCGCUGUGGAUUUCUGGAUCUGGAUGAAGUCCUAUAACGUUAUCUAACAAACUGGGGUCAGCAUCGAGGAAAUGUGGCAUGGACAUUGCUGCUGGGAUACCUGUAAAUAAAGAGGAAGCUUCAUCAUUCUAUUUUGCGAGCUCGAAGAACUCGGUGUACGAAAGAUUAUAACUUGAGAGAAAGCACCAUAGGAAUUCAUCCCCCUCGUAGACGACUUACGUUAUGGAACCAGCACCAGUGCAAUACUAUUACCACGGUCAUCGGUAAUCAGAUUAACACAUUUGGGAAAUAUCAAUUUUUACACGUGUAUAAUAGAUGCGCAGAAGACUAUUCUUCUUUAAUGACAGAAAGACGCAAUCCUGAUAAAAUGACGCGGAGAGAAAAAAAGAAUUCAUUAACUUAAUCCUCUGAUGACCGCACGUUUCUGCGGAUCUAUAACUCUAAAUACUUACACAGGAACUAUGACUUCAAUAAUAUAUUUUUUAAUAUUUCAAUGGAGUUUUAUGAGUACUCGGUACUUUGCUCUUUCAAUGUUUUUGAAGUGUUGUCUAUUGAUACCUACUUUUGUAACAAUUACAUCAACUAAAGGCAGGUUUCCUAUGCCACCGGAGAGCACCUUUCAUUUCACGUUAAGCAAUAAUAAUGUAUAGUGCUCCCGUUGAAAAAUACUUUUGCUGGUAAAAGUGAUUUUCGUAACUACUGCAAAAACGGACCAACAUAUUCGCCGACUUAAAUAGUUGAAUAAUUUGACGUCGUUAAAAUUGACUGAUUAUGUGCCUUUGAAUACACUAUUUAUUAAUUGUCUACGAUAAAACUGGUUGAGCAAAGACAGCCAUACUAAAAAUAGCUCCACUAUAAUUUAGCUUACGAAAGAUAUUAAGAAUUAUUUUUUUUUUAUGGUAAACAUUUUUGUUUAUAGAAACACUCAGCAAAAGUUGCAACAGAGGUAACUCUUGCAACACACCAUGUAUCUACCCCAUGUUGACCACCUGUUCGUUUUUUUAAUUUAUGCUUAGAUGACUUCAGUUAUUUCCUUAAGGAUCUUUUUUUCCACCUCUAAAAGCAUGCAUGAAAAAUUGCAGUGCAACAGAAGCGUCAGAAUAACGGCAGCAUUCCAACGAGGUGUUUUUCAGUGUUUUACGCGAUCGUUUUUUGCAAACAAGAUGGUUGGAUGUUUAUGCAACGUUCACUUCGCUGGGGUUAGCUAGAAAAAAAUUGUCUAGUUGACUGUACAACCUAAUUAAUACAAAUAUUAAGUUUGAUUUAAAUUUAAAUUUUUUUUACUCCGUUCUGACAGAACGGUCCAACGGUUCUGACAGAAGUCCAACAUGUUGUAAUACAAAUAUAAAGAUAGAAAUUUUUUUUACUCUUGAGCAGAUGUAAAAAAAAUUCUUUCGAACGGAAUUUCCAUUGCGUUUACCAUUUUUUAGAAAAAAAAAAUCACAAACUUACAUAUGAAUUUCGGCCGUCCAAGGUGACCUACCCCCUUAAUUGUUUCACGAUCCCAUUUCUUUUUUCUCGAGGGAAUUGAACGUUAUUAACAUUAAUUAAAGCAAAGUGCUAUCCUCUGUUCGUUCAUAACUAUUUUUUUUAUCCUUUUGGAUUGUAUGAUGAAUGAUUAACAUAAAUUCAAUUUAGUUUUGAUCUAAAGAGAAACUUGGUAACAAAUGGCAAUGAGUUUAUUCAAAUGCACGCGUUAGAGACUGAUAGGAUAUCGUCUUUUCUUUUUUUUUUUAUUGUUUAUAAGCGAUUUGUAGCCGUGACCUAAGAGAAAAAAGAAACAUGCAUUCAGUCUGCUUCGGUUUUUAUACGACGCGGAUAGCGUAAUAACAUAUAGGAAAAUUGUUUGUCGAAUAGUUUAUCUGCUCACAUAAUUAUCCGGAAGAUGCAUCUGUGUUUUCAAACAUCUUGCAUUUUAUUAGCUGAUGCGGCUCGUAAACAUACACAUUUAUUUCAAUUUGUUUUGACUGUUGCAAUUGAUUUUUACAAAGGUUAAAAAAAAAUAGAGUUCAAGAUAAUCUCGAGGAAAAUUAGAGAAAAUUCUCGAUUAGAUUGUUUCAUUUUAAUAAAGUUUCUGGAGAGAGCAUUGAUCGAGUAUGGAUGUAAUAAAUUAUGGACAUACUUCAUAUUCAUUAUAAUAAUCAAUGCAUGAUUAACCAGGAAUGUUAUAAAUUGUCCGUACUUUUAUCAAAGUUAAUUAUAAAUGCAUCAGCAUAAACAGUUGCGUGUAAUUAGAGUUAUCAUUUAUAAAUGGUUUUCGGAAGUUAUUUGGUAAACAAUGAGAUCAACGAAUAUCAAUGAUUACUUAAAAUAAUUCGAUAGAUAAACAUAACAUGUUUUACACGCAAUGUAUAUUUCAACGAUUAAGAAUUUGUUAAAAUAAAAUUAAUGGGACAAGGAAGUCACUUUGAAAUGUAGCGACAAAAUCAUAAACAACACUUUACGUAGAAUGAAUUUAAAAUAACGUGCAAUGGAGCAAAAUGUUGUAUAAAAAAUGACGUUGAUGCCUCAGGAUUGUAUAAAUAUUAAGUUUUCAUUUUUAAGAAUUUGAUAUCGAUCCUACGUAAGGAUUUGCAUUAAAAAACAUUUCCUGCUAGAACGGUAUUUGCAUCAGUCUAACAAAAAGAAGAUAUACGUUCAAAAGUAUGCUGAUCAGUAGAUGAUAACAUUAUAAAUAUAAAGACUAGUAUAAAUA